UACGGGGGAGCAAGCGUUGUUCGGAUUUACUGGGCGUAAAGGGCGCGUAGGCGGCCACCGCAAGUCGACUGGUGAAAUCUCCGGGCUUAACUCGGAACGGUCACUGAUACUGCGCGGCUAGAGUGCAGAAGGGGCAACUGGAAUUCUCGGUGUAGCGGUGAAAUGCGUAGAUAUCGAGAGGAACACCUGCGGCGAAGGCGGGUUGCUGGGCUGACACUGACGCUGAUGCGCGAAAGCCAGGGGAGGCGAACGGG
rnacentral:rRNA from 1 species